AUUGAACGCUGGCGGCAUGCCUUACACAUGCAAGUCGAACGGCAGCACGGGUGCUUGCACCUGGUGGCGAGUGGCGAACGGGUGAGUAAUACAUCGGAACGUACCUUAUCGUGGGGGAUAACGCAGCGAAAGCUGUGCUAAUACCGCAUACGCCCUGAGGGGGAAAGCGGGGGAUCGAAAGACCUCGCGCGAUUAGAGCGGCCGAUGCCUGAUUAGCUUGUUGGUGGGGUAAAAGCCCACCAAGGCGACUAUCAGUAGCUGGUCUGAGAGGACGAUAAGCCACACUGGGACUGAGACACGGCCCAGACUCCUACGGGAGGCAGCAGUGGGGAAUUUUGGACAAUGGGGGCAACCCUGAUCCAGCAAUGCCGCGUGAGUGAAGAAGGCCUUCGGGUUGUAAAGCUCUUUUGUCAGGGAAGAAACACCGGCUCUAACACAGUCCGGGAAUGACGGUACCUGAAGAAUAAGCACCGGCUAACUACGUGCCAGCCGCCACCGUAA
rnacentral:rRNA from 1 species